rnacentral:misc_RNA from 1 species
UCCGGUUUGUCACCGGCAGUCUCCCUAGAGUUCCCGACCGAAUCGCUGGCAACUAGGGACAAGGGUUACGCUCGUUACGGGACUUAACCCAACAUCUCACGACACGAGCUGACGACAGCCAUGCAGCACCUGUCACUCGGUUCCCGGAGGCACCAAUCCAUCUCUGGAAAGUUCUGUAGAUGUCAAGGCCAGGUAAGGUUCUUCGCGUUGCGUCGAAUUAAACCACAUGCUCCACCGCUUGUGUGGGCCCCCGUCAAUUCCUUUGAGUUUCAGUCUUGCGACCGUACUCCCCAGGCGGCGAACUUAACGCGUUAGCUUCGAUACUGCGUGCCAAAUUGCACCCAACAUCCAGUUCGCAUCGUUUAGGGCGUGGACUAC